AUAACUGAUGGAAGGCCGGGCGCGGUAAGAGCGUCUCGGGGAGUAGGGCAAGGCGGCCGGGCCCCUCCCAUUCCGCCUUUUCUUCAGCGUCCUGCCCGCGGCACUGGCUGCGGGUGCCGGGCCACCUGCGAGUGUGCGGAGGGAUUCCGGACACCCGCGGCGGCGAGCUGAGGGAGCAGUCUCCACGAGAACUGAGGCGGACCCUCUGGCGCCAUGCGCGCCCUCCCCGGCCUGCUGGGGGCGAGGGCGCCUACGCCCCGGCUGCUUCUCCUCCUCCAGUGCCUUCUCGCCGCCGCGCGCCCAAGCUCGGCGGACGGCAGUGCCCCAGGAGUGAGUCCGUGCUGCUGCACAUGCCCCAGCCUGUGAAUCCAGAGCUCACUACAGGGCGCAUCACAGGACUGGUGGACAGGCUCAACCACUUCCGAGGAAGCACCUUAUAUACCCAAUACAGGUUCACCAUCAUUAACAGCAAACAAAUGGGAAGUUAUUCUUGUUUCUUCUGAGAGGAAAAAGAACGAAGGGGAACAUUUAAUUUCAAAGUCCCUGAACUUCAUGGGAAAAACAAGCCAUUGAUCUCUUACGUAGGGGAUUCUACUGUCUUGACAUGUAAAUGUCAAAAUUGUUUUCCUUUAAAUUGGACCUGGUACAGUAGUAAUGGGAGUGUAAAGGUUCCUGUUGGUGUUCAAAUGAAUAAAUAUGUGAUCAAUGGAACAUAUGCUAAUGAAACAAAGCUGAAGAUAACACAACUUUUGGAGGAAGAUGGGGGAUUUUACUGGUGCCAUGCACUAUUCCAAUUAGACGAGAGUGAAGAACACAUUGAGCUUGUGGUGCUGAGCUAUUUGGUGCCCCUCAAACCAUUUCUUGCAAUAGUGGCUGAGGUGAUUCUUUUAGUGGCCACCAUUCUGCUUUGUGAAAAGUACACACAAAAGAAAAA
ensembl:lncRNA EMBP1 embigin pseudogene 1